rnacentral:tRNA from 6 species
CGGGAUGUAGCGCAGCCCGGUAGCGCGCUUCGUUCGGGACGAAGAGGCCGCUGGUUCGAAUCCAGUCAUCCCGACUA